rnacentral:snoRNA from 1 species
UGCCAUGAUGCUGUAAUUUGCGACUUACUGUGCGUCUGGUGGCGGUAGCCUGCCGUCGUAAGCCAGCGCACACGGAUGCUGAAAACGAACCACUGAGCA